rnacentral:rRNA from 1 species
UGCGUAGGCGGAAUGAUAAGUCAGUGGUGAAAGCCCUCAGCUUAACUGAGGAACUGCCAUUGAUACUGUCAAUCUUGAGUACAUUUGAUGUGGGCGGAAUGUGUCAUGUAGCGGUGAAAUGCUUAGAUAUGACACAGAACACCGAUUGCGAAGGCAGCUCACAAAACUGUAACUGACGCUGAGGCACGAAAGCGUGGGUAUCAAACAGGAUUAGAUACCCUGGUAGUCCACGCUGUAAACUAUGAUUACUCGAUGUUUGCGAUACACUGUAAGCGUCUAAGCGAAAGCGAUAAGUAAUCCACCUGGGGAGUACGCUCGCAAGAGUGAA